rnacentral:rRNA from 1 species
GACGAACGCUGGCGGCGUGCCUAAUACAUGCAAGUUGAGCGCUGAAGGUUGGUGCUUGUACCAACUGGAUGAGCAGCGAACGGGUGAGUAACGCGUGGGGAAUCUGCCUUUGAGCGGGGGACAACAUUUGGAAACGAAUGCUAAUACCGCAUAAAAACUUUAAACACAAGUUUUAAGUUUGAAAGAUGCAAUUGCAUCACUCAAAGAUGAUCCCGCGUUGUAUUAGCUAGUUGGUGAGGUAAAGGCUCACCAAGGCGAUGAUACAUAGCCGACCUGAGAGGGUGAUCGGCCACAUUGGGACUGAGACACGGCCCAAACGACUACGGGAGGAAGCAGUAGGGAAUCUUCGGCAAUGGACGAAAGGCUGACCGAGCAACGCCGCGGGAGUGAAGAAGGUUUUCGGAUCGUAAAACUCUGUUGGUAGAGAAGAACGUUGGUGAGAGUGGAAAGCUCAUCAAGUGACGGUAACUACCCAGAAAGGGACGGCUAACUACGUG